GACUGUACCCUAAGAAUAAGGUCCGGCUAACUUCGUGCCAGCAGCCGCGGUAAUACGAAGGGACCUAGCGUAGUUCGGAAUUACUGGGCGUAAAGCGCGCGUAGGCCGUUGAGUUAGUUAAUUGUGAAAUCCCAAAGCUUAACUUUGGAACUGCAAUUAAAACUGCUCGACUAGAGUUUGAUAGAGGAAAGCGGAAUACAUAGUGUAGAGGUGAAAUUCGUAGAUAUUAUGUAGAACACCAGUUGCGAAGGCGGCUUUCUGGAUCAACACUGACGCUGAGGCGCGAAAGUAUGGGUAGCAAAGAGGAUUAGAUACCCUCGUAGUCCAUACCAUAAACGAUGAUUGCUAGAUGUUGGAAAUUUAUUUUCAGUAUCGCAGCUAACGCAUUAAGCAAUCCGCCUGGGGAGUACGACCGCAAGGUUAAAACUCAAAUGAAUUGACGGGGACCCGCACAAGCGGUGGAGCAUGUGGUUUAAUUCGAAGAUACGCGCAGAACCUUACCAACCCUUGACAUGUCUGUCACGAGUUUAGGAAACUAGACUUUUCGGUUCGGCCGGACAGAACACAGGUGCUGCAUGGCUGUCGUCAGCUCGUGUCGUGAGAUGUUGGGUUAAGUCCCGCAACGAGCGCAACCCCUACUUUUAGUUGCCAUCAGGUCAUGCUGGGCACUCUGAAAGAACUGCCAGUGAUAAGCUGGAGGAAGGUGGGGAUGACGUCAAG
rnacentral:rRNA from 1 species